ACAGACACUGGUGAACAAGAUAGAGCCAUCUGCCCAUGUUGGAGUGCUGGGAUCUACGAAUCACAAACCAAAUAAUUAUUACAUGAGUUAGCUCUGUGCUCAGACAUGCAGUGGAUGAGGUCUCCUUACAAAAAUGUUUAAGAAAUGGGUUCAGUCUCCAGACAGGAAGUUGGAAAAAACGCUGCCCCUGAAUCCCCCCAGACAUAGGCCCUCCAAGGAGGGGGGCUGAUUGGGAGUCCACUAAGCCCCCAGACCCCAUAUGGUCUGGGGGCUUACACGGCCCAAAAGGAUGAGAGCCCAGAGGCUGGAUCCACAGUGAAGAAACUGGAACGACGACAUGGGAAGGAGUGUUGAGCUGCAUUUUAUAAGCUCUCAGACAUGCACGCUCACGAUGGACACGGUCUUGGAAAGGCUGAAGCACAGCAUUGGGCCACACAAAUGGAGGUCCAUUUUUCUGAGGAGGAAGUCAGUCUGUCCUUUCAUCUCUUCCAUGCAAGCACAUGUUGACACCGGCUGACACCGGCUGACACCCGGCAGAGGGUCAUAUGGACAAAAUCCGCAGAACAUAGGUGCCACUUGCACCCUUUCUGUUUUCUUUUUUUUUCCUUUCUUUUCACAAUUUUUGCUUUAUAUAUUUUUUUGAUCAUUUAUUUUUAUUUUUUGAACUCCUUGUGAUUUUUAUUUUGAGAGCUGCUAUAAAAAAGUUUUGUUUAAAUUGUGUAUGAAAAUGUCAAACCUUUAUGUAAUAAAAAGCUGAAAAGUCAGUUUAUUGUCCAUCCUUUGUGAAUUACAUCUGAUUCUGCUGCCUACUACUAAACAUAUGCAGAAGAGCUUAUUUUUUAAAUUAAAUCAAGACACCGCUGUCCUAUAUUACUUGUUUUUAAGGUUUUUAUACAUUUGUUUUGCCAUUCUGGUUGCUUUUGCAGUUAGUCUGCCAUUAGUUUUGCAAUAUAAUUUCCUGUGGUAUCUACAUAAUGAAUAAAGGUGACAAAAAAAAAACGUUUACCUGAAAACGUCUCUACAACAUGCCACAAACAUUUAGUUGGUAUGUUGUCACAACGUCACAAUAGCAACGUUGUCACGAUAUCGCAGUAAAGUUGUGGAUAUGUCGCGACAACGUUCCAGCAACGUCCUACGUGACGUUCUGACAACGUCGUAGCGGAAUUUCACUUUGGAAGUCGCUACUACGUAACAUACGACGUUCCUGCAACAUCACAAGGUGUCGGAAAAUACGUUGCGAUAACGUUGUUGCAACGGACCUGUGUUAGUAGGGUUAUGGUAAUGAGCAGUGCAUAUGUCCAAUCCCGUCGGCGGUGACAAGUUGGUAAUAAGAAUAUUGUGGCAUUAACAGAGGGGUGUCGGCGGUCAUGGCUAGGGAGCCCCCCAACAGAAGGGGGCCCCAGGCGGCCGCCGACCUAUGCCUAAUGGUAAAAUCGCCACUGAGUAUUGCAUAUAGCAACAAUAUAAGCUCAGAUAAUAUUUGACUAGAGUCUAAUUUAAAAUGUCAAAUAAAGCCAAUCAAACAAACUUGCAACAUUAAAUCAUAGCUUACUGCUAGUAAGCAAGCCAUAGCAUGUACCCAGGCAUAGCGUGGCAAACAUUGAAAAUUUACCAUUAUUAUGUUUUUAGGUUAAUACGAUAUUUUGUCAAUGAUCGAGUGAUAAUAUGAAACUUGUAGCUUACCUCAAUAUGCUUUUUCAAGUUAGAUGGUAAGUUUUUGAAAGCCAUCAGCUCGUCGUACUUGGGUGCACAAAGCUUGUAGCGCAUUCGAAAUGAGUUGUUUUUGCAUCCAACCAUUUCAAAAAAUUCUUCCAGGCAUGGCCAGGGAUGUAAAGGGGUUGACUUGUCUUCCAGGCUAUCAGAGCCGUCCUCACGGGUACUUGGUUCAGACAUCUUGUUAGCAAGAUUUGCCUCUCCGCCCAAUGCUACUGCUACAACAUACAUUUGCUAAUGGUCUUACAUCCUGGAGUGUCACAUGAUUUGUGUCACGUGCAGUUGCGCUGACCAAUACCAUGUCGGAAUGGUAGAUCUCAUUCAUCCACAAUCAAACCUUUGUUUUUCACCGACGACAAGCCGAAAUGAAGUGGGAGUAACGAGGUUAUUUUUUUAAAGUAAGGAGUAGAAAGUACCGACAAUUGUGUGAAAAUGUAAGGGAGUAGAAGUAUAAAGUAGGGUAAAAAAUACUUACUCCAGUAAAGUAUAAAUAACCAAAAUUUCUACUUACGGUAACGAAGUAUUUGUACUUCGUUAUUUGACACCUCUGACGAUAGGGCCACCGAAAAGAAAAAGAAAAGAAAGAAUUCUGACUUUUCUCAGAAUUCUUUCUUUUUUCUCUCAAGAUUAUUAAAGUCAGAACUCUGAGGAAAAAGUCAGAAUCUUCUUUCUUUUUUUUUUCUUUUCAGUGUUCCUAAUCCUCUUCCAUAAUCAACACAUUCUCACACCCUAAACGUCGAAAAAUGACUCGGUGUGACCAAGAGUUUGUUUCCGAAACAGUAGGAGCCCCUGGCACAGCGCGUCGGUAUCCAUCGCCCGCGGUAAAACAGACAUUUGACCGAAUUGUGACCUUUACCCUCUUGCUCUUUAACCUUCCCGCACCCCCAUCCUAACCUUAUUAACCAGCUUGCGCAUGCAAAGCUUUGUUUCGCAUUUCAACAUUCCCCUCAAACACGCUUAACAGAAAAUUUAGACUGACAUACUGGGUUAAGGUUAAAAUGGGGAUGAGGGGAAGGUUAAAUCACUAGACGUUAGAGGCAAAAUGUCAGUGAAAUCUCCUUUUCACCACGGGCGUCAGAUACCGACGCUGUGGCACUGCGCGUGGGGAGGCGACGCGCAGGGGCACCCAACGCAUCGGAAUCAAACUCUUGGUCACACUGCGUCAUUUUUUGACGCUUAAGGUGUGAGAAUGUGUUGCCAAAAUACGUUUAUCAUUGCUAGCAAGCGGUAGUUUUGUGUUUGCAUACGACCUUACCAACAGACGGUCAUUAGGUUAAAAAAAAUCCUGGGAGCGCAACCUCCAGCAAAAUGACAUGCAGACUCCCUUUUAUCACUGGCUAUGAGUGAAGAGGGUAAAUGUGUUUAACAACGUUUAUGAAUGGCAAACAUUUUGCAACCGCUUGUCAAUAGAUCAGUAAAUGCAUUUUGUCUUCAUGGGCUCCCGUAGAAGGAAACAUGGCGUCUAAUAUCGCAUCUCCUAGAGACUUAGACCCACUCCCAUGCAUUUAGACUUUUAUGGUUAUAUGUUGAAGGAUAUUUCAAGAGAUUAACGGGGAAAACUGCACAUUGUCUCUUUAAGUUCGGUUUGUAUUCAGGGGCGUGCCCAGGGAGUGGCCUGGGGUAGCACAUGCUACCCUUGGAAUCUGAUUGGCCACCCCAGGUGCCACCACACUAAUUUACCUUUAAAUAGGCUUUUCAUUGUCCACAAAAGGCUUGGGGGUAAAACAAAAACAAAAGAAGCAUAACCAUUGGUGCCACCCAUGCACAACGUUGUGCCUCACCUGGGCCACCCCAUUUUAAAAGAUCUGAACACGCCACUGUUAGUAUUAUGUCAUAAUGCUCCUGAAAUAAACAAAAUUUUAAACAAAUGGAAUUUUUAAGUGUUACACACAAAAUCUAAUUCAGGAAACCAGUGUCAAAACAUAAAAAAAUGUUUAAAAAAUUUAUUCAAACACGUAAAGAAAAAAAAAAUCUAAUCUGGAUUCUUUUAUUCAGAAGAACACCCCAGAAUAAUUUUCUGUAGAAAACAACGGGGUUGAACUUUUGUUGCCUAUUUUAAUUAUGACCAAAUGUUUUAUUCCUUUUUUUUUUAUUAAAGUGUGUUCAAAGAAUGAUACGAACCAUCAACAACAUACCUAAGACUUUUAUUUUUCUGUGAUGAUCCAACAGGCUUUAAAAAGUUUUUUUUUGGGCACUACAUCCGAGCAAACGGCUGAAGCUACGCGAUUUUUACGUUACAAACAGCCAAGACGUGACUCAAAUCAACCGUGUGAUCGGGGGUCAUCCGUCGCUCGGUGUGAGUCACCAGGGUGACGUGCGAUGUUCUGGCUGAUUAGAGAAAGAACGGAAGUUCUCAACAACCAGGUAAACAAAAAGUAAAUCAACACGAGCAGCCUGAGUCAUCGUUUAAUGAGGGAGAAACUUGUCUGAGCAGCUGCUGCUUACGGAAAACCAGUCAGACGGUUUAAGUUAAAUGUGUUGAAAUCUUCGCCCCUCAGAAGCACGUUGUGUGUUUCGCACCAACUCAUUGACCUGAUUUCCUUUGCCAUCAUAAUCAAAACCCUGAUAGUAACUGAGCCGCGGUCCUAAAGCAUGACACCAGCGAACAAAAGCAACAAAUCCACUCAGACUGGGAGUAACUAGUGCUGUCUGGCUGCCUUCUUUGCCCUAGUUUUCUGUUUGUUUUGCGCUUAGCUGGGAACAGAGACAACUGUGCUGUGAUGCUCUAAAGACAGAUAUGAAGAGCAGUAUGACCCUGUGUUAAGUGGAAUCAUACUGGAGUCAGACUCUGUGCUUUCUCUUAAAAUAAAAAAAUAACAUUUGCUUACACUUUCUCUGUUUUGACUGAUCUCUGCUUAGGAAAGCCGAGGCAACCAAGUCAUGGUCGAGGCCAAAAAGUCCGACAUAAACACAUUUAGGACUUCCAAACUUUCUCCAAAAUCCAUCCAUCUCUCUCUUAGCUAAAGCUAACAGACAUGUCCAGACAUUGCAGCUGAAGGAAUGACAGGAAUGAAAGGAAUUCCGGGGCAUUCCCAUCAUGGCACAGUCAGCUCAAAGUGAGAAAGCCACUCCCUGGCUAACCAAAAAAACAACUGAUCGAGUGCCGGUGGUGAUCUGUCAAACUCCACCGACUCCAGAACGGGCUGUUAAAGCUCACACGGAAAUCAUCCCGUCAGGUCUGGUCUGCAUCGCUGUUCCUGCAGAGACAUCUUCCUGAGUGAUGGCCCUGCUCCAUGUGUCCGGACAAAGAUCUGCUUUCAGAAAGCUGCAGGAAUGUAAACUGCACUGUGUUUAAGCGAGCACAAUGUAGGUUAACUGCGGUGUCUGUGUGUGUGUGUGUGUGUGUGUGUGUGUGUCUGUG
ensembl:lncRNA